rnacentral:rRNA from 1 species
UACGUAGGGUGCAAGCGUUGUCCGGAAUUAUUGGGCGUAAAGAGCUCGUAGGCGGUUUGUCGCGUCGGCCGUGAAAACUCGGGGCUCAACCCCGAGCCUGCAGUCGAUACGGGCAGACUAGAGUGCGGUAGGGGAGACUGGAAUUCCUGGUGUAGCGGUGAAAUGCGCAGAUAUCAGGAGGAACACCAAUAGCGAAGGCAGCUCGCUGGGACGUUACUGACACUGAGGCGCGAAAGCGUGGGGAGCGAACAG